GAAUAUCCUUUGUUUAUGAUAUUUCGUUUUACUAAACAACCUCAUGAAUUACUACAUAAUAAAUACCGAUAAAUUAAAAUACGAAAUAGAAAGAGAGUACUAACUCCUCUAUACUUGAUGGUCUAGAAGCCAAAGAAAAAAAAGGAAAAAAGAAAAAAGAAAAAAGAAAGCGAAGUCUAUGGAUCAAUACAAAUUUAAUUAAUGAAAUAUCUUGUGAAGAUUGCUCUUGCCCAAGCCUUUAAGAAGAAGCCAUUCUUGAAGUAAUUACAAGUGGCAAUUUUCAUCUAAAAAUCGUUUCUUUAAGGGGGUGGGGUGCUCAAUUUUUAGCUAAUUAAGCCAACUUUACUUGCAACACUAUCACUCAUAACUACUGCCCAAUCCAUACUUCACUUAAAAAGAAAAGAAAAAAAAAAGUAAGAAAAAUGUCAACAACAAGAUAAUAACACAUCUUGUAGGUGCUAUAAUAUCAUGGCUUUUUCGAUUGGAAAUCCUGAAGAAGAAGAAAAAAAGGCAACCAUCAAACAAAUCAAGAAUUAAUCAAUUCACGAAGUCUAAUAAUAUGCCCUCUCAAAUCAAUGCAAAGAAAGCGUCUCUUGACUUAGGGGAAAAUAAAAAAUAUGGGCAUGAUUACAAUUUACAUUAAUCAAGCUAGGCAAUAGAGUAUGGAAUUCGUGAAUUGACUGCAAAUUUAAUGAACUUUACCACCUCCCAUAAUUAGAAAAAUUAAUAUCUGUUGUUGUGAUAGCGACAUCACACCAAGAGAAAAAAAAAAGAAUCAUACAUAAAAAAAGGAUUUUAUUACAUGUAUGUCUGCAACAUUCCUAGAUUUUUUACUCUUAUGGGGAAACCUACAGUCCCAAAUAAUUCUUAAACUAAACCCCUUUUUAUCUUUUUUCCUUCCAAACAUUGAAGAAGUUUUGUGAUGGCAUUGGCAUGGUUUCAUUCUCUUGUUUCUCCCUUGAAGAAGUUUUGGGGCAGCUUCAAGGAGGCCAGAAGAACGCGGAGCGGGAUAUACGUAUUGUAUGAGGACGUGAAGUCGUGUUCGUGUGAAGAUGUGCACGCGCUGUGGACGCUGCUGGUUGAUUCCGAUGCAAAAUUUACUUAGAUUAUAUGAUUACUGGUUUUUAAUUUAUUUAACUUUUUUGUGCAUUUUUCUUGUUUGUUUGAACUUAGUAAUCAUACUGAGUGCCGUGGAGAGGCUACUGGCACCGGUAAAUAGCAUCUGCAUAAAUCCUUGUCAAUGAUUUCCUAAAAAUAUGUUGCCAUAAACAUUACUAAUAGUUUUCCAUCGUUUUCUUUCC